AUGAAGAUGCAAGAAGGCUACUCUACUUUUUACAGGAAAGGAUACUUUCAUAUCUUAAGGCAAAAGGCAAUGAAAUUUUGCAUUAGAAAAACGCAAGUAUAUCUCACAUAUUUUUUGCAUUCUGGAGAAUCUACUCACUCUCUUUCUUUGCUCAAGUACAAUCAACACAGAAGCCAGAUGAUACAUUUCAUUUUAAUCAAAAGUUUUAUAGAGUCUCAGAGAUACAAACAAGAUUUAUGGCUCUUUAGAAGCUAUAGUGUAUAGAAACAGAAUUACUUCAAAAACUGUAUUUUCUUGAAGUUAAAUGCAAAUCAAAUAGGCCCUAAUGUACUAAGCAUUUAUCUGGUGGCACUUGCCACAGCAUCUUCAAAUUUGAUAAGAUUAUUCAGCAUUAUAUGGCACUUUCUACUUGCUGUUUCUAAAAGUCACUCCGGCAGACAUUUUUAAUCUACUCCAUGAACUUUGACAGACCAAUUGAAUCUAUUUUACAGUUAAGGAUACUGUUAAGAUUUGACGUUCCUGUAGAGUCAUAUGGAACCUAGUACUUAGUCUAGUAAAUUCAGUGUUCUGAGAUACACAGCCCCUGCAUUUCCCACUAAUGCUUAUAAAUAGAUUUGGGCAGAAACCCAAGAUUUGGACAAACCUAAUCCUCAGCACUUAUUCAGUUUAGCCAACUACUAGCAGCACCUUAUCUGACACCACCUCAUCUUCUUCACUUGAUGCCAACUUGAAAAAAAAAAUCAUAUCUGCUGAGAAACGUGCACCCAUUCAUUGUGGUAGAUUAGAAGUUUGGGAGUAGAUAAAAUAAUUUGCAAAUUAUGCAUAAUUCACAAAGACCUGGCUCUCUCUUCACUCCUAAUGGUUGUGGCCUGUGUGACUUGGCACCCUAGUAUAGCCAGAUUCCAUGGUUCAUUGAGGUCAAGGCCAUAUUGAUCCCAGCAUGGGACCAUCGCAUCCUUACAUUUCUUACAGUUUGCACACAUUACUAUGGAUAUUCCAUUGAUAAAUGUGUGAUCUUUCACAGUUGAUCCUGGACACAUACAGAUCAGAACAAUUUAUCACCAGGAUUAUCCUGUCACUAUGGUCGAGAAAACAAUUCAAUGUGAAUGAGAAUAGAAAUCCUCACUUCCUCCAAGAAACGUUUAAGUUCUCCUUCGUAGAAUUCUCUCUCUUCUCAUUACCAGAUUAUAGUUCUUUUGUGCCUACAUGUAACUAUUCUCACAGACUACUUUAGAUACAGACUUUAUUCCUGGGCGUCUAUGUCUUCCUUACUCACAUGUAAAGCACACAGGAGUCAGAGUCUCUGUGCCUUUAUAUACAUUCACAAGUCCUAAUAUAAGACUUCCACACAGAAACUUCCAAUUUAGGUGUGUCAAAUAUAAUGCAUACAAAUGUAAUGCUUUUCAAGAUGCC
rnacentral:lncRNA from 1 species